rnacentral:lncRNA from 1 species
UACCCAAUUUCAGGGAGAAUCUUAUCUCACUUAGCAGACUGGAUUCGAGAGGCUACAGGACGGUAGCUGGUGGAGGAAUCCUGAGGGUGCUACGCGGCAAUAGGAUUGUGCUGGAGGGGAAGAAGGGGAGCAGAGGACAUUAUUACCUGACGGGGAGCCCAGUGCGAGGUGGAGCUUCGGGAGCCAGGUGGAGCCCAGAGCGAGGUGGAGCUCCAGGAGGUG